rnacentral:rRNA from 1 species
AAAGGUAGCGUAAUCAUUAGUUUUUUAAUUGAAAGCUUGUAUGAAUGGUCGGACGAGGUAUACACUGUCUUUAUAUAAUUUAUUGUAGAAUUUAACUUUUAAGUAAAAAGGCUUAAAUUAAACUAAUAGACGAGAAGACCCUAUAGAUCUUUAUAAGUUAAUUAUUAAUUAUGUAAGGGGCAUUUAUUAAUUAAUAAUGAAAUUUAUUUUAUUGGGGUAAUAUAAAGAUUAAAAGAAUUCUUUGAAAUAUAAACAAGAAUGAUUGGUUAAUUGAUCCAUUAAUAUUGAUUAUAAGAUUAAGGUUCCUUAGGGAUAACAGCGUAAUUUUUUUAGAGAGUUCAUAUCGAUAAAAAAGU